UACGAAUGGGGCAAGCGUUGUUCGGAAUCACUGGGCUUAAAGCGUGCGCAGGCGGAUAUGAAAGUCAGGAGUGAAAUCCCAGGGCUCAACCCUGGAAUUGCUUUUGAAACUUCAUAUCUAGAAUCCGGUAGAGGUUAGUGGAAUUCCGAGUGUAGAGGUGAAAUUCGCAGAUAUUCGGAGGAACACCAGUGGCGAAGGCGACUAACUGGACCGGUAUUGACGCUCAGGCACGAAAGCGUGGGGAGCAAACAGG
rnacentral:rRNA from 1 species